rnacentral:tRNA from 1 species
AAGAUCUUAAGUUAAUCCAUUAAACUGUGGGCCUUCAAAGCCUGAAAUGGGUUCUUAGACCCAGAUCUUG